rnacentral:rRNA from 1 species
GAUGAACGCUAGCUACAGGCUUAACACAUGCAAGUCGAGGGGAAACGACAUCGAAAGCUUGCUUUUGAUGGGCGUCGACCGGCGCACGGGUGAGUAACGCGUAUCCAACCUGCCCACCACUUGGGGAUAACCUUGCGAAAGUAAGACUAAUACCCAAUGAUAUCUCUAGAAGACAUCUGAAAGAGAUUAAAGAUUUAUCGGUGAUGGAUGGGGAUGCGUCUGAUUAGCUUGUUGGCGGGGUAACGGCCCACCAAGGCAACGAUCAGUAGGGGUUCUGAGAGGAAGGUCCCCCACAUUGGAACUGAGACACGGUCCAAACUCCUACGGGAGGCAGCAGUGAGGAAUAUUGGUCAAUGGACGAGAGUCUGAACCAGCCAAGUAGCGUGCAGGAAGACGGCCCUAUGGGUUGUAAACUGCUUUUAUAAGGGAAUAAAGUGAGUCUCGUGAGACUUUUUGCAUGUACCUGAUGAAUAAGGACCGGCUAAUUCCGUG